AUUGAACGCUGGCGGCGUGCCUACUACAUGCAAGUCGAGCGAAGCGGCGGAUGGGUGAGUAACGCGUGGGUAACCUGCUCUUAAGUCUGGGAUACCAUUUGGAAACAGAUGCUAAUACCGGAUAUAACAGGAUGGACCUGCGAUGCAUUAGCUAGUUGGUAAGGUAACGGCUUACAAAGGCGAUGAUGCAGAGCCGGUUUGAGAGGCUGAUCGGCCACAUUGGGACUGAGACACGGCCCAAACUCCUACGGGAGGCAGCAGUAGGGAAUCUUCCACAAUGGACGAAAGUCUGAUGGAGCAACGCCGCGUGAGUGAAGAAGGUGUUCGGAUCGUAAAGCUCUGUUGUUGGUGAAGCGGUAAUCAACCAGAAAGUCACGGCUAACUACGUGCCAGCAGCCGCGGUAAUAC
rnacentral:rRNA from 1 species